rnacentral:rRNA from 1 species
AUGAACGCUAGCUACAGGCUUAACACAUGCAAGUCGAGGGGCAGCAUGAACUUAGCUUGCUGAGUUUGAUGGCGACCGGCGCACGGGUGAGUAACACGUAUCCAACCUGCCGAUGACUCGGGGAUAGCCUUUCGAAAGAAAGAUUAAUACCCGAUGGCAUAGUUCUUCCGCAUGGUAGAACUAUUAAAGAAUUUCGGUCAUCGAUGGGGAUGCGUUCCAUUAGGUUGUUGGCGGGGUAACGGCCCACCAAGCCUUCGAUGGAUAGGGGUUCUGAGAGGAAGGUCCCCCACAUUGGAACUGAGACACGGUCCAAACUCCUACGGGAGGCAGCAGUGAGGAAUAUUGGUCAAUGGACGAGAGUCUGAACCAGCCAAGUAGCGUGAAGGAUGACUGCCCUAUGGGUUGUAAACUUCUUUUAUACGGGAAUAAAGUGAGGCACGUGUGCCUUUUUGUAUGUACCGUAUGAAUAAGGAUCGGCUAACUCCGUGCCAGCAGCCGCGGUAAUACGGAGGAUCCGAGCGUUAUCCGGAUUUAUUGGGUUUAAAGGGAGCGUAGGCGGACGCUUAAGUCAGUUGUGAAAGUUUGCGGCUCAACCGUAAAAUUGCAGUUGAUACUGGGUGUCUUGAGUACAGUAGAGGCAGGCGGAAUUCGUGGUGUAGCGGUGAAAUGCUUAGAUAUCACGAAGAACUCCGAUUGCGAAGGCAGCCUGCUGGACUGUAACUGACGCUGAUGCUCGAAAGUGUGGGUAUCAAACAGGAUUAGAUACCCUGGUAGUCCACACCGUAAACGAUGAUUACUAGGUGUUGGAGGAUUGACCCCUUCAGUGCCGCAGUUAACACAAUAAGUAAUCCACCUGGGGAGUACGACCGCAAGGUUGAAACUCAAAGGAAUUGACGGGGACCCGCACAAGCGGUGGAGCAUGUGGUUUAAUUCGAAGCAACGCGAAGAACCUUACCAGGUCUUGACAUCCUUCUGACCGGUCCUUAACCGGACCUUUCCUUCGGGACAGGAGUGACAGGUGGUGCAUGGUUGUCGUCAGCUCGUGCCGUGAGGUGUCGGCUUAAGUGCCAUAACGAGCGCAACCCUUAUCGAUAGUUACCAUCAGGUUAUGCUGGGGACUCUGUCGAGACUGCCGUCGUAAGAUGUGAGGAAGGUGGGGAUGACGUCAAAUCAGCACGGCCCUUACGUCCGGGGCUACACACGUGUUACAAUGGGGGGUACAGAAGGCAGCUACACGGCGACGUGAUGCUAAUCCCUAAAGCCUCUCUCAGUUCGGAUUGGAGUCUGCAACCCGACUCCAUGAAGCUGGAUUCGCUAGUAAUCGCGCAUCAGCCACGGCGCGGUGAAUACGUUCCCGGGCCUUGUACACACCGCCCGUCAAGCCAUGAAAGCCGGGGGUACCUGAAGUGCGUAACCGCAAGGAGCGCCCUAGGGUAAAACUGGUGAUUGGGGCU